UCUUGACAUGGUAAAUUUCAUUAAU
rnacentral:piRNA from 1 species